CGGGACGGGUGAGUAACACGUGAGCAAUCUGCCUUUGGGAGGGGGAGUAACGUCUGGAAACGGACGCUAAUACCGCAUAAUGUAUGGUUUUCGCAUGGGAAGCAUACCAAAGAUUUAUCGCCCAAAGAUGAGCUCGCGGCUGAUUAGCUAGUUGGCGGGGUAAAGGCCCACCAAGGCGACGAUCAGUAGCCGGACUGAGAGGUUGAACGGCCACAUUGGGACUGAGACACGGCCCAGACUCCUACGGGAGGCAGCAG
rnacentral:rRNA from 1 species